UUGUCCAUAGUGUGAGAUUGUGCCCUGGACAUGGUGCCAACCCAUUGCACCAAGCGGUACAGAGAAUAGAUGGAUGGAAGGAUGGAGAUUUCAUCCAUUGCUCUGGAUGGAUCUUGACUGCCAUCAUGUGGCCAGGUUUAGGAAGUGCAUGUUUCUAUGAUUUUUUAGAGCAGCGUUUCCCUACCUUUUUUUCAGUCGCGGCACCCUUUGAAUAUUUUCAAAAAAUUUGUGCACCCUACACAAACACUGAUGCUAGACAGCGUUAAGCCUGGUUUAUACUCGACAUGUCCAGCAAAAAUGACAUCAUUGCGGAGUGUGCGGUCGAGCAUGUUGAGUGCGUGAGGCUUCAUUUCUCAUGGCGGUCUGCACGGCGCCGGAUCCGGAAAUUAAUGACUGGGAGGCGACUCUUGCCGGAAAGUACGAUUGUACAGGUAUCUCUAUGAUCCAUCCAUGCGGGACCAUAGAGAGAGCCAGAUGGCACAAAAUUCAUGGAAAGGUUUUUAAAAUAGUGAUUUGGAUUUGCUUUGUACAUACUGCUGAGAUGAUAAAGCCAAAGCUGAAAGUUUUUUGUGGUGCACCAUGUUUUCCAUGAUGUCACCAUGAUAUUAAAUGUUUUCUACACAUUUGAUCAUUUUAGAAAAUGUUUGAAGGAUUUUUACACGCACCCCUGCUCUCAUCAGACAGAACCUCGAUUGGGAAACACUGGGUUAGUUACUCGUCUGACCAAUGUGUUUAACUUACUCUCCAUCAUCACUUUUAUUCUGAGCAACAUUCAUUAUUCACACAGAAACUACUUACACACCAAUCCUCACUAAUAUCAGGAUACUCGCUCUCAUUAAGGGAAAACCAGAAAAAAUACAUUCCUGCAGAUAUUUAAGUAAACUUACUCAGCGUAUGAGUUCUGCUUCUUUAUCUAAUGAUCUGCUGAGUGUUUCUACUUCCUGUUAUUUUAUUUUAGUUUAUAUAUUUGUAUAGAGCUCUGACAGUUGUUCGUGCACAGCUGAAUGAAGUCACGAGAUAAUAAAUGAAGGUAAUGAAAUGAUAAUGUGUGUGAUGUAGAUUUUACCAGACUGUUAAUUCUGUUCUCUGUAUUUGCAGCGUUUUCAGGCUUAUACUUUCAGUAUUUACAGGCCUUUGCUCGAUGGAUCAGAAAGCUGUAUGAUAACAAACCCUAUCUGUGUGUGUGUGUGUGUGUGUUUAUUACCCUACCUCACUGCCCCUCCCCCUCUGCAGAAUAAACGGUUAGGAAGUGAAAGUGAAAGUCAGUCUCCAUUUUGUGUGGAGGGGAAAAUACAGCAUUUCAGGAGUAAAAACACAGGUUUGAUUUAACACACCGAUGUUGGAGUGAAGUAAACGUGUGUCCUGCUGUAAUCUGGAGAAGGAGACAUGACCUCCAACAUGAGUGUGUCUGGAGAACAGGACUUAAAGAAAGAUGAGAGAAUGAUGGAGGGAAAGAGAUCAGACUCACCAGAACCCAGCUGUGUGUCCAUGAAGAGUGAGAAGUCAAUGGAGAGUCCAAUUACCUUCAGAGACGGAGCCAGUUCUCCUGAUGUGAGACCACAACAGAAGAAAUCAAACCUCAGCAGAAAUCAGUUGGACUCCAUAUUCAAGGAGCUGGAACACAAAGUCAUCACUCUGAUAAAGAAUGAGCUGAAGAGGUUUAGGAAGCUCCUGAGUCCAGAUUACCCAGCAUGCACUGAGAGGGAGGUGCAGGAUGAGGAGGAUCUGCACAGUGUCAGAGAGGGAGCGCUGAAGAUCACACUGCACGUCCUGAAGAACAUGAACCACACAGAUCUCGCUAACACACUGCACAGCAAGUCUGUGGCCUCUGUGUAUCAGCCAAAGCUGAAAUCCAGCCUGAGAGAGAAGUUUAAAAGAAUUAAUGAAGGAAUCUCACAGCAUGGAAGCUCAGCACUUCUGAAUGAGAUCUACACAGAGCUCUACAUCACAGAGGGUUGGAGUGGAGACGUCAAUAAUGAACAUGAGGUGAGACAGAUUGAGACAGUGUCCAGGAGACCAGCAGCACAGGAGACACCCAUCAAAUGUAAUGAUCUCUUUAAAGACAAGUCCAUCAGAAGAGUGCUGACUAAAGGAGUUGCUGGAAUUGGAAAAACAGUCUCUGUGCAGAAGUUCAUUCUGGACUGGGCUGAAGGAAAAGCAAAUCAGGACGUCACCUUCAUGUUUCCACUUCCCUUUAGAGAGCUGAAUCUGAUGAAGCAGGAACAUCUCAGUCUGAUGGAUCUUCUUCAUCACUUUUUCCCUGAAAUGACAAAACUACAAUUAAUAGACUCCUACAAAGUGGUGUUGAUCUUUGAUGGUCUGGAUGAGUGUCGACUUCCUCUAAAUUUCCAGAAGAAUGAGAGACUGUGUGAUGUGACAGAGUCAGCCUCAGUGGACGUGCUGCUGACGAACCUCAUCAAGGGGAAUCUGCUUCCCUCUGCUCUCCUCUGGAUCACCUCUCGACCAGGAGCAGCCAAUCAGAUCCCUCCUGAGUGUGUAGACCAGGUAACAGAGGUACGAGGGUUCAGUGAUCCUCAGAAAGAGGAGUACUUCAGGAAGAGGAUCAGUGAUCAGGGCCUGGCCGAUAAAAUCAUCUCACACAUGAAGUCUUCAAGAAGCCUCCACAUCAUGUGCCACAUCCCAGUCUUCUGCUGGAUCUCAGCCACUGUUCUAGAGAGAAUGUUGGGUGAAGCAGAGAGUGGACAGAUCCCCAAGACUCUGACUCAAAUGUUCACACACUUCCUGAUCUUUCAGAUCAAACACAAGGACCAAAAGUACUAUCAGAAAUGUGACCCUGAUCCUCAGCAGACCAGAGAGAGUAUCCUGGCACUGGGAAAACUGGCUUUCCAACAGCUGGAGAAAGGAAACCUGAUCUUCUAUGAGGAAGACCUGAGAGAGUGUGGCAUUGAUGUCAGAGAAGCGUCAGUGUACUCAGGAGUGUGUACCCAAAUCUUCAGAGAGGAGUUUGGGCUUCACCUGGGGAAGGUGUUCAGCUUUGUACAUCUGAGUGUUCAGGAGUUUCUGGCUGCUUUAUACACAUUUCUCUCCUUCAUCAGCAGAAAUGUAACAGAACAACCAACCACUGAUCUGUCUGAUCUUCUCAACAAGUCAGACAUGUCUGAUCUCCUCAGGACUGCAGUGGACAAGGCCUUACAGAGUGAGAAUGGACACCUGGACCUGUUCCUCCGCUUCCUUCUGGGUCUCUCACUGGAGUCCAAUCAGACUCUCUUACGAGGCUUAAUGCCACAGACAGGAAGCAGCUCUCACAGCACACAGGAAACAGUCGAGUACAUCAAGGAGAAGAUCAGGGAGAACCCAUCUCCAGAGAAAUCCAUCAAUCUGUUCCACUGUCUGAAUGAACUGAAUGAUCAUUCUCUAGUGCAGGAAGUACAGACUUACCUGAACAGAGGAGGUCUCGGUCGUCUCAGGGGAACCAGACUCUCUCCUGCUCAGUGGUCAGCUCUGGUGUUUGUGUUACUGAACUCAGAUCAGGAGCUGGAUGAGUUUAAUUUGAGGAAAUAUGACCCAUCAGAGGAAUGUCUUCUGAAGCUGCUGCCAGUGGUCAAAGCCUCCAGAAGAGCUGAGCUGUGUGUGUGUAAUCUGACAGAGGAAAGCUGUAGAGUUCUGUCCUCAGUUCUCAGAUCAAACUCCUCCAGACUGAGAGAACUGAACCUGAGUCUCAAUAACCUGCAGGAUUCAGGAGUGAAGCUGCUCUCUGCUGGACUGGAGAACCCACACUGUACACUGGAGAUACUGAGGCUGUGUUGGUGUGAUCUGACAGAGGAAAGCUGUAGAGUUCUGUCCUCAGUUCUCAGAUCAAACUCCUCCAGACUGAGAGAACUGGACCUGAGUGGCAAUAACCUGCAGGAUUCAGGAGUGAAGCUGCUCUCUGCUGGACUGGAGAAUCCACACUGUACACUGGAGAUACUGAGAAUCCCUUCUAUUGUGCGCUGGAAGAUCGCUGGACUUGAAGCAAUUCCAAAUGGUGGCCUGUUUCGUGUGUUCCCUGAUAGUCAAUGAUUGCUGGAGCUCUGGAAAUAGCAGGUGAGAUUGCAGGCCGGAGUCGCGUCGCUGUCCAGGGAACCAAAAUCAACCUCCUCUACUCCUGAGACCACAGUGUAACUGAGAGCCUAGACUACAUGGCUACUUGGAACAUGAACAUGUUGCAGACACAGGAUCUUAUGAAGUCAGCGCAGGCAGCCCUGGAAAAAAAGAGUCCGAAAGACGUGCCCUUCUCCAAGCUUUAAAGGAGAAGAUCCAGGGCUGUUGAAGCUGUGGUGGAACUGAGACUUCAUCAUCCACAUAUCUUUAAUUCUUCUUGCUAAGUCUGAGUUUCUUUUUAGUCUUUUUAUUUUUAGACUGGUCAAAAGACUGAUUAGUGGAAGUGAAAUGAUAGAUGAACUUUUAAUUACUUGCUUUAUUAUUUGCAGGUGCUUUGUACAGUAAGACAGGGUAACUAAUACACAAAAGCUUGUUUUGUGUGUUAACAUGUACAGUAAAUGUACAUAUUUUUUCUGGUGCUGUGUGACUGCAGAAUGUAGUGCAGUUAACACAUUAAAUUUCCUUGGAUGCUCACUUUUAACUCGAGGAGGUCACAGUUUGCCCAGACAUCUUUUUUUAAAUCCGUCAAUCCGUCACCCACACGUCAUUCUGGGGGACGAAGAGGAGGAAGCUGGACAGAUAAAUUUAUUUAUUUAUUUAUCAUUGCUGUGUUUCCUCAAUCGAGUGCAGAAAGAAGAAAAACAACACAACUGAUUUAAAAUAAAAAUAUAGAAAACAAUCUAAUGUAAGGUUCUGAUCCGGUUUGCUUUCAGCAGGAAGGCUGUCCUCUUUCCUGUUGCUCUUUCCCUUCUAUUAGUCCAUUUGUCCAGUCUGAAUCGGUUUGAUUCGUUUCGAGACGAUUCGGAGUCAAAUAAUUUUCUAGUGAGAGUCGCACACUUCCAAAUGAACUAGACUGAGAUGAGUAUUUGAUUCUCACUAGAAAGUUAUCCGACUCUGAA